rnacentral:lncRNA from 1 species
GUUGGAGGGGAGAUAAGGCUAAAAAGGGGGAUCUGAAGUCUAGAAUUGUCCUGUGGGUAAAGAAAAGUUCCUGCAGGAGGGACAUGGGGCAGGGGGGCUUCAUCAGGAAGUGCUGAGGGACAGGAAAUCAGACAGAGAUGGCAGCUGGGCAUCCAGAUGUCUGGCCCCAAGGCUCAGACAAGGGCAGCUAGAAUCCAGCAUCCGUCUGCAUGGAUUGCAUGCCAUCCUUGAAUCCACUCACUUGCCCAGCCCCUGAACCAACUGAUGAAUGUGGUGAAGUCUUCCCUUCGUCACCCCAGGUGCAGCCACAGCCUCUGCAGCCACCCUGGGGGAGAGACAGCUCCAGAUUCCCGCAAGGAGCAAAGAGAUUUUUGACUUUGUCUUCUUUUAUUGACAUUGAGGAGAAGCUUCUGACUCAGGCGAGCCUCACAAUAAGCUGUUUUUCAACUUCAGUAGACCCGCCAGCACCAGUUGUUUUCACCUUUGGGGGAUGUGUGCAUUUCUUUUUUUAUUUUCUGAAGUAAUGCAUGUUCAUUUUAACACAUUUAAAUGAGACCAAAAUAAAGUUACAAAGGAGUGCUUCCCCACCUUUCCUUUCUUCUCCUCCUCAGCAGGACCUGCUAAGGUGAGGUGUUCUGGAAGGGUCUCUGCUCCUAGCAGUCACUGGCAGCUUGCCCAAAUUGGAGAAGUUUAACAUCUCUUUUCUCUGAGAAGUAAAAUGUGUUUCUUUGGUGGAUGUGAAACCAACAAACCACUGUGGUGCCUCUCUACAUCUGAAGGAUGAGCCAGCCAAGCCAGGGGAACUGACGACCCCACACACGUCUGCACUGCUGUGGCCGUGUUGAACACGGACUCCUUCUUCAGGGCAGCCUUGGGCCAUCGGAGGGCUGCUGUAUGCAGUGACGGCCACCAAGUGUCCUUGGCCAGGGGAGUGAUUUACAGGGACUGAGAUCCUGACUUGUGACCCAGACACGAAUGCAUCCUUGUUCCAUUUUGUUAUUGCUCAACCGUCAUCUGGCCAUCCCCAAAGCCCACCUCUGUGAGAAAGGCCAGUGCUUGUCCUCGUGACACCCCUGAGACCUCGAUGGAGCAAGUCCCAGGUAAGAAGGAUCCAGGUCACUAACACACAGGGACACUUUGCUCCUGGACCUGCUGGCUGUCCCUCUAGUCAUGGAAGGGUUUAUGCUCACAGCAGUCCGAGACUGGAAGAAUUACUGUGAAGUCCAAAUGGGCCCCAAAGCUGCCUGCCCCUAAG